AGAGUUUGAUCCUGGCUCAGGAUGAACGCUAGCUACAGGCUUAACACAUGCAAGUCGAGCGGAAUGCCUUCGGGCAUUUAGCGGCAGACGGGUGAGUAACACGUAUCCAACCUUUCCCUUACUCGGGUAUAGCCUCGGGAAACUGAGAGUAAUCCCCGAUGUGGUGUACGCUUCGCAUGUAAUGCACACCAAAGAUUAAUCGGUAAGGGGUGGGGAUGCGUUCCAUUAGGUAGUAGGCGGGGCAACGGCCCACCUAGCCGAUGAUGGAUAGGGGUUCUGAGAGGAAGGUCCCCCACAUUGGAACUGCGACACGGUCCAAACUCCUACGGGAGGCAGCAGUGAGGAAUAUUGGUCAAUGGGCGAGAGCCUGAACCAGCCAAGUAGCGUGCAGGAUGACGGCCCUAUGGGUUGUAAACUGCUUUUGUACGGGAAUAACGUUGUGCUCGUGAGCGUAAGUGCAUGUACCGUACGAAUAAGGAUCGGCUAACUCCGUGCCAGCAGCCGCGGUAAUACGGAGGAUCCGAGCGUUAUCCGGAUUUAUUGGGUUUAAAGGGAGCGUAGGCGGAGGAUCAAGUCAGCUGUGAAAUGUAGAUGCUCAACAUCUGCACUGCAGUUGAAACUGGUUCCCUUGAGUGCGUAAGAGGCAGGCGGAAUUCGUCGUGUAGCGGUGAAAUGCUUAGAUAUGACGAAGAACUCCGAUCGCGAAGGCAGCUUGCCGGGCCGCGACUGACGCUGAAGCUCGAAGGUGCGGGUAUCGAACAGGAUUAGAUACCCUGGUAGUCCGCACAGUAAACGAUGGAUACUCGCUGUCGGCGAUAUACGGUCGGUGGCCAAGCGAAAGCGUUAAGUAUCCCACCUGGGGAGUACGCCGGCAACGGUGAAACUCAAAGGAAUUGACGGGGGCCCGCACAAGCGGAGGAACAUGUGGUUUAAUUCGAUGAUACGCGAGGAACCUUACCCGGGCUCAAACGACAGCGGACCCAUCCUGAAAGGGAUGCUCCAGCAAUGGUCGCUGUCGAGGUGCUGCAUGGUUGUCGUCAGCUCGUGCCGUGAGGUGUCGGCUUAAGUGCCAUAACGAGCGCAACCCCCAUCUUCAGUUGCCACCGCGUGAUGGCGGGCACUCUGGAGAGACUGCCGGCGCAAGCUGUGAGGAAGGCGGGGAUGACGUCAAAUCAGCACGGCCCUUACGUCCGGGGCGACACACGUGUUACAAUGGCGGGGCACAGCAGGAAGCCAGGCGGCGACGCCGAGCCGAUCCCUAAAACCCGUCUCAGUUCGGAUCGGAGUCUGCAACCCGACUCCGUGAAGCUGGAUUCGCUAGUAAUCGCGCAUCAGCCAUGGCGCGGUGAAUACGUUCCCGGGCCUUGUACACACCGCCCGUCAAGCCAUGGAAGCUUGGAGUGCCUGAAGUCCGUGACCGCGAGGAGCGGCCAAGGGUAAGACAAGUGACUGGGGCUAAGUCGUAACAAGGUAGCCGUA
rnacentral:rRNA from 1 species